GCGCAGGACAAAACGGAUUCGCGCACGGGUUCCGCGCGAGUGCGGCGCGUCAUUUUGAUGACGUUGUUAUCGCGGGGAUUCCCGUCACUGUCGUUUCGAUGUCGUUUCGCGGCGAUAAUAAUUGUCCACGCGUCAUACGCAUCGAAAGGCCUUUGUCACGGUGUGUCCGUGAGCAUUUUUUACGGGACGGCACGCAACGGAAAUUCGCACAAAAAAACCGCACCGUCACGGUGGUUAUGCGUUCGAUAAAAAUUAGGUGG